GUCCCCAAUCAUACUACUUAUGCAGAUUUCUGUCAGUUCUGUGGUCCAUUUAUUCAGAACAUGUUGGAAAUGCGAAUUGUGAGUCUGUCUGGGGUAAUGCAGGACUGAAGGAUUGGAAGAUCGCUACAGUGUGUUAAUCAGGCUUGAUGAUCAAAAAAAUGCAGAUUAUGUUUACAAGCUGUACAAUGGAAAGUGUUUUUCAUCACUUGAGGAGGAAACGUGCCGCAUGUUCUUCACUGUAGAUAUGCAAUAUACUGGGUCAAUUGAACACUCACAGCCUUCCUCGGCAAGCUCUACAGAGCUGCCUAAUUGUCCAGUUUGUCUUGAGAGACUAGACCAAGAUACUGCUGGAAUUAAAUCAUAAAAAUGAUAUUUCAUUGAUCAAAUCAAAGGUCGGGCAGCCUCUUGCCGCUAUUUUCGAAACAGCCUCUUGCCGCUAUUUUCGAGGAAUAAGGAUCAUGUGCGGAUAGGAAUAAGGGCCACGUGUAUCAUCCGAACUGACACAAGAAGAGGUAGUACGGGAAAUGUGUGAGCGAAGGAGCACUGGAUUGGAGUGCGUAGCAGAGGAUUACAUCUGAAGCAGGUGUGGGAUGUAUUUAAGGGGGGACCACUCUCUCAUUCGGCAUGUUAGUUGUGUGAUUGUUCAUUGGACUGAGGAUCCGGGAUCCAUAGCAUUCUAUCGUUCUCUUUGUCGUGUUCAUUCCUUUGUCAUUUACUUGUACUUAUCGCAUUGUUCUUAAGAUCUCAUUAUUAAUCUACUUUGGUGAUUGUCUUGUUUCA